GCCUCCUUAGCUCAGUCGGUAGAGCAUCUCACUCGUAAUGAGAAGGUCGCGAGUUCGAUUCUCGCAGGUGGCUCCA
rnacentral:tRNA from 1 species